GGGAAGUGAUGAGUGGUCAUCGCUCGCAAUUAAACAUGCGAGAUGGGGUGUCUGCCUAAAGCUUUACGACAAUUAGGCACCUCCAAUUCUUUACCGUCUGAUCCC